AUACGGAGGAAGCAAGCGUUAUUCGGAAUCACUGGGCGUAAAGGACGCGUAGGCGGGUUUGUAAGUCAGGUGUGAAAUCCUACAGCUCAACUGUAGAACUGCACUUGAAACUACAGACCUAGAGUAUGGAAGGGGCAGAUGGAAUUAGUGGUGUAGGGGUAAAAUCCGUAGAUAUCACUAGGAAUACCGAAAGCGAAGGCGAUCUGCUGGGACAUUACUGACGCUGAGGCGUGAAAGCGUGGGGAGCAAACAGGAUUAGAAACCCGGGUAGUCC
rnacentral:rRNA from 1 species